UUUGCUUUUGGAAAGAAAACCAAAAAGGUUGCUUUGGGAUCAAAUUGUAGGCUACUGUUAUUUAAACCGCAAUUAAGGCUUGAGUUAAUUAUGCAAUUGUGACUAAUAGCGGAUGUGGUUCCCAUGCUGGAAGGGUUUUGUUGGGGAGUGGGGACUCGAGAAAUGCACAUCACAUCACAUGACGAUACGUUCGCGCCUCUUUCGUAAAACUCUCCGACCAGUAAAGAUUCAAAACAACUUAAAGGUGACCUUCAAAUACAAUGCUUCUAAAAUGGAAGGUCAACUCAGAAUUACGCCAUUCAAUCCUCAUCGAAAAAAGAUUGACUGUUUUCCCAACCCUAAUUAUUCUGGUUCUGUACAGUAUACAUCUGUAAUCCGCCAGAUGUUGUGAGCAGCAGUAGUGUGCCGUUUAUCCACUAAUUAUUCUGGUUCUCCAGCUAAGGUGCAUCUAGUGUAGUUAGUGAAAUAGUCUAGUAUCUACUGCCCUAGUUGCUCCUUCUGGCUGGAGCACUUGUAUCCCAACUCUGGACAUUUGGUGACAGCAGUUUCAUCUGUUUUCUGUCACUGUUCAUUUCUGACCUAUGAGCUAGCAUAUGUCACAAUUUGGAAUUAAGUGUUAUAUUUUGAAAACGUUUUAGUAUAAAAAGUAAAUACCACUACCUCACUGCAUGUUCUUUCAUAUUUCUGGUAUUACGUAUUAGUCAAGUUAUCAGCCUUUUUUUUGUAGUUUGUGUCAAGUUUUAUUGGGGUAUUCCAAGUUCUAGAAUAUUCUAUGUUGUAUUGUCCUGGCAGUUCCAAAGUGCUCACAGUGCAGGUAGUUUAAAUGAACCUACUGCAGUGUGUGCACUUCAAGUAUUGCCGGUCACCCUCCCUUUGAAGCUCACUACUGAGACCACCUUGAAGAGAUCCAUCCAUGGCACAUCAUGGGUUUACUGUGAGUUUUGCAGGGUUGCUUUCAGCUUCUGAAAAUUUCCGCUGUGCAAAUCCAUGCAAAACUCUCUGUACCUGAGAGACUCAACAAACAGAGAAACCUGUGAAGAGCUUCUGUUCCCCUGGGUCCCUUUGUAUUGUUUUAUAUUGUUCAGAAAACUGCAAUAUCCUCAUGUUCAAGUUUAACACUUUUGCUUUGGUUAAGUAUGCAGCAGACAAUCUGUCAACGCAGCUGUUAUCGCGGGCUUGGUCUCGGGGAUGGCAAGCAUGGGGAUGUGUUAUGUCUGUGUGGGUUGGAAGAAUGGAUUUGCUUGGCAAGCAGUUUUUAGCUUGUUGUUUGUCUUGCUGUUUUUGGGUGGAAGACUUCGCAAUGUUAAUGAUGGCCAAAAUCGACCAAAUGAUGCACAGUAUACAUCUGUAAUCCGCCAGAUGUGAGCAGCAGCAGUGUGCCAUUUAUCCACUUUGUUCCUUCUCUAAAUUGAAAACAAUUAACACAACUGCUGAAAUAAAAGAACGUUGAAGGGUU